rnacentral:rRNA from 1 species
AACGAACGCUGGCGGCAGGCUUAACACAUGCAAGUCGAACGCCCCGCAAGGGGAGUGGCAGACGGGUGAGUAACGCGUGGGAACAUACCCUUUCCUGCGGAAUAGCUCCGGGAAACUGGAAUUAAUACCGCAUACGCCCUACGGGGGAAAGUUUUAUCGGGGAAGGAUUGGCCCGCGUUGGAUUAGCUAGUUGGUGGGGUAAAGGCCUACCAAGACGACGAUCCAUAGCUGGUCUGAGAGGAUGAUCAGCCACAUUGGGACUGAGACACGGCCCAAACUCCUACGGGAGGCAGCAGUGGGGAAUAUUGGACAAUGGGCGCAAGCGUGAUCCAGCCAUGCCGCGUGAGUGAUGAAGGCCUUAGGGUUGUACAGCUCUUUCACCGAUGAAGAUAAUGACGGUAGUCGGAGAAGAAGCCCCGGCUAACUUCGUGCCAGCCGCCGCUGUAAUAC